rfam:Deinococcus marmoris strain KOPRI26562 contig-7000012, whole genome shotgun sequence.
GGUCAAGAUACUAAGGGUCCACGGUGGAUGCCCUGGCACUGGAGCCGAUGAAGGACGCGAUUACCUGCGAAAAGCCCUGACGAGCCGGAGAUACGCUUUGACUCAGGGAUGUCCGAAUGGGGAAACCCACCUGUUUACAGGUACUUCCG